rnacentral:rRNA from 1 species
GACGGACGCUGGCGGCGUGCCUAAUACAUGCAAGUAGAACGCUGAAGGAGGAGCUUGCUUCUCUGGAUGAGUUGCGAACGGGUGAGUAACGCGUAGGUAACCUGCCUGGUAGCGGGGGAUAACUAUUGGAAACGAUAGCUAAUACCGCAUAAUAGUAGAUGUCGCAUGACAUUUGCUUAAAAGGUGCAAUUGCAUCACUACCAGAUGGACCUGCGUUGUAUUAGCUAGUUGGUGAGGUAACGGCUCACCAAGGCAACGAUACAUAGCCGACCUGAGAGGGUGAUCGGCCACACUGGGACUGAGACACGGCCCAGACUCCUACGGGAGGCAGCAGUAGGGAAUCUUCGGCAAUGGACGGAAGUCUGACCGAGCAACGCCGCGUGAGUGAAGAAGGUUUUCGGAUCGUAAAGCUCUGUUGUAAGAGAAGAACGAGUGUGAGAGUGGAAAGUUCACACUGUGACGGUAUCUUACCAGAAAGGGACGGCUAACUACGUG